rnacentral:rRNA from 1 species
GACGAACGCUGGCGGCGUGCUUAACACAUGCCAGUCGAGCGGAAAGGCCACUUCGGUGGUACUCGAGCGGCGAACGGGUGAGUAACACGUGAGUGAUCUGCCCCCAACUUGGGUAUAAGCCUGGGAAACUGGGUCUAAUUCCCGAUAGGACUGCAGGGUGGUGCCUGUGGUGGAAAACGAUUUUCUAGUGGUUGGGGAUGAGCUCGCGGCCUAUCAGCUUGUUGGUGGGGUAAUGGCCUACCAAGGCGGCGACGGGUAGCCGGCCUGAGAGGGUGGACGGCCACAUUGGGACUGAGAUACGGCCCAGACUCCUACGGGAGGCAGCAGUGGGGAAUAUUGCACAAUGGGCGGAAGCCUGAUGCAGCGACGCCGCGUGGGGGAUGACGGCCUUCGGGUUGUAAACUCCUUUCGACCGCGAGGAAGCCACCUGGUUGGAAGGGUGGUGACGGUAGUGGUAGAAGAAGCACCGGCUAACUACGUG